rnacentral:misc_RNA from 1 species
UCUCCGUUGGUGAACCAGCGGAGGGAUCAUUACAGGACUCGCAAGACUCCUUACACCCUGUGAACCUUACUGUAUACGCGUUGCUUCGGCGGGUCCGCCCGCCGGCAGCAUACCACAUUCUGUUUCUCUGCGUUGGCAUCUCGAGAAAAAAGCAAAUAAGUUAAAACUUUCAACAACGGGUCUCUUGGUUCUG